GUCAUCAUUAAGAUUAAUCUGCAAUAGAAAAAACACAAACUGGUAAGGAGGGUCUUCAUCUGGGUUAAAAAACAGUGCUAAAUUUAAAAGUGGUUGUUUCUCUGUUGGCCAAUGUUACACAUAGACCCCAAAGUCACUCUAAUCCUUCCUUCAAUUUAUAGUAAACAGCAGGUUUGGAAGGCACUUUUGUAAUGAAAUAAAUCAGGUCAGCUAACGGGUACUAUUUUAUUUUAAUGCAUUUCCAAAGAACACACAAAUUAAUGUUCAUGAUCAGAAAUCAGUUGAAAAGUCAAAUAUGUCCAAUAGAUAAACUCAGGGAAUUCUAUGUUGUUUUUUGAGUGAAUUGACUACAAUACAGACAUGGCAGGGGAAACCCACCAUUACCUUCAAAUAAGGUUACGUUAUAACUUACCUGAAGUUGGUACUCUAAAGGUUCCAGACUUUCUCCAAGUCUCUGGCCACAACCACUGCAAAAAACGUUUGACUAUAAUUACGACAAAACAUAAAUUUUUUCGCCGUAUUUUGGCGCCGAAUGAAGGUCUAGCAAGCGAGCGAGUACUCAUUUCCUAUUGAUCGAGUUUGAGACCCCUGUCUUAAAGGCUUAUUAACAGCACACACUCCGUUGUUUCAUAUUUAUGACGUUUUAAGUGAAAUAUUAAAUACAUUAAAGUCACAUGAUGUUUCAUCCACUUUUUAGCUGGUUGAAAAGACGUUGAAAUGAGGUCUUAGAGGUUCAGACCUCAUUUCAACCUGAUUUCAACGUUAAAAUUACGUCUUGUGCUCACUGGGAGGGGGAAGCAGCCGGUGGCUGAAGGAGCUGUAAAGAGCAGCCAGGGCAUCAUGCAUGUGGUGGGAAGCGUUGUCCAUCAAGGAUGAUAGUUUAGCCAUAAUCCUCCUGUCUCUCAUUGCCCCCACUGUAUCCAAAGGACUCUCCAAGACACACUGCUGAAAUUGUUGAAAGUCUUUUUCUGUCCACUGUCAGGAUGCUGGUGCUCCACACUGUAAAACAAGUCAGUUAAACUUGCAAAUGAAAGUUUACCUGCUGCCUUGGAAAUGUAACUGAACUCAACAUGAAGACUGCCUUUGAUUUAACUCAGAAAUGUGAGGUUGUAGUUAUUAUUAGGGUCCUCGCUACGACUAGUGGUAGAGGAACCUAUUGCAUUUCAAGGAAUUAUUAUAAGGGUCCUUUGCUACGAGGACGCUGUUCAGGGGUUCAAACGUUGAACCCCUGGCCACCAGAGAUCAAACGUUGAACCCCUGGCCACCAGAGAUCUCUAACAAUAACAUUUUGAGA
ensembl:lncRNA